GACGAACGCUGGCGGCGUGCUUAACACAUGCAAGUCGAACGGAGUGGCGAAUGGGUGAGUAACACGUGGGUGACCUGCCCUGCACUUCGGGAUAAGCCUGGGAAACUGGGUCUAAUACCGGAUAGUGUGGGAUGGGCCCGCGGCCUAUCAGCUUGUUGGGGGGGUAAUGGCCUACCAAGGCGGCGACGGGUAGCCGGCCUGGGAGGGUGGACGGCCACAUGGGGACUGGGGAAACGGCCAGACUCCGACGGGGGGCAACAGGUGGGAAUAUUGCACAAUGGGCGGAAGGCUGAUGGAGCGACGCCGGGGGGGGGAUGACGGCCUUCGGGUUGUAAACGCCUUUCACCAUCGACGCGGUAGAUGGAGAAGAAGCACCGGCUAACUACGUGCCAGCAGCCGCGGUAAUUC
rnacentral:rRNA from 1 species